rnacentral:tRNA from 1 species
GCCCUCGUCGUUCAACGGAUAGGACGGCAGAUUGCGGAUCUGCUGAUUGAGGUUCGAUUCCUCACGGGGGCA